rnacentral:rRNA from 1 species
AGCCUUUAGCUAAACAAGUAUUAAAGGUAAUGCCUGCCCAGUGAAAUUGUUUAACGGCCGCGGUACUCUAACCGUGCAAAGGUAGCGUAAUCACUUGUCUACUAAUUAUAGACCGGUAUGAAAGGCCACAUGAGAGCCAAACUGUCUCUUGCAGUUUAUCAAUAAAACUGAUCUUUUAGUACAAAAGCUAAAAUAACACCAUAAGACGAGAAGACCCUGUGAAGCUUCAAAAACCUCCGCCAAAUCCCAUGGUGGAUACUUUUAGUUGGGGCAACUUUGGAACAAAAUAAAACUUCCAAGAGGUAGUUACCUAACAAGACUGACAAGUCAACCACGACCCAGCAUGACUGAAAAACGAACCAAGUUACUCCAGGGAUAACAGCGCAAUCUUCUUCAAGAGCCCAUAUCAAAAAGAGGGUUUACGACCUCGAUGUUGGAUCAGGACACCCAAGUGGCGCAGCCGCUACUAAAGGUUCGUUUGUUCAACGAUUAACAGUCCU